UGGGGGAUAUUGCACAAUGGGCGAAAGCCUGAUGCAGCGACGCCGCGUGGGGUAUCAAGUCCUUCGGGUUGUAAACUUCUUUUGCUCUGAACAAGGCGCACCAUGGGGUGUGUUGAGUGUAGGGGUUGAUUAGCGCCGGCUAACUACGUGCAAGCAGCCGCGGUAAUACGUAGGGCGCCCGCGUUGUCCGGAAUUAUUGUGCGUAAAGGGCUUGUAGGUGGCUGGUUGCGUCUGUCGUGAAAGCUCAUGGCUUAACUGUGGGUUUGCGGUGGGUACGGGCAGGCUUGAGUGCAGUAGGUGAAGCUGGAAUUCCUGGUGUAGCGGUGGAAUGCGCAGAUAUCAGGAGGAAUACCAGUGGCGAAGGCGGGUCUCUGGGCUGUUACUGACACUGAGGAGCGAAAGCAUGGGGAGCGAACAGG
rnacentral:rRNA from 1 species